rnacentral:rRNA from 1 species
ACAGAGGGUGCAAGCGUUAAUCGGAAUUACUGGGCGUAAAGCGCGCGUAGGCGGUUGUGUAAGUUGGAUGUGAAAUCCCCGGGCUUAACCUGGGCACUGCAUUCAAAACUGCACGGCUAGAGUAUGGGAGAGGAAGGUAGAAUUCCAGGUGUAGCGGUGAAAUGCGUAGAUAUCGGGAGGAACACCAGUGGCGAAGGCGGGCACCUGGGCCAACACUGACGCUGAGGCGCGAAAGCUAGGGGAGCAAACAGGA